rnacentral:ribozyme from 16 species
UUGAGAAAAUCCAUUAAUGAAUAGAAAGGAAAGAAAAAACUCAACAUACGUUCUCGCUAUAUGUUUCUAAAAUGAGAGACAAAUAAGUCUGCUUUCUUU